GAAAUAAACCCUAAUUGAGAGUAUUUCUCUUUUUCACAGAGUCAAGGUCUUAGAAGUCAAGGAAAGACUGAAGACUGCUCCAGGUUGAGGACGAGCAUGAAGUCUCACAAUCCAGGUCCUGGGCGCAGACUUCACCUUCUGAACCUUCUCCUAUUCGGAAAGUGUGUGGCCCACACGGUGGUACGAGGAGCCCUGGGCUGGGCAGCUGCCAGCCUGGAUCCGAGUCCUGCCCUGGUCAAAGUGCUGAUUACUUGACAUACUUCUGUAUCUGCAGAACCAGGUGACUGAUCCCCAAAGCCCAGCCAGCUCCAGCAAGCUCUGGCACCUGCACCCAUGGGUCACCCUGUCCCCGGCCCACCCUCCUCGAACCAUGUUCCGCUCACCGUGGCAGGGCCGCCCCCGGAGCAGUCGGUGCCGUGUGCAGAGGACGGAGGCAGAGGUGCCGUGUGCAGAGGACGGAGGCAGAGGUGCCGUGUGCAGAGGCCCAGACAGAGAUGUGGAGGGGUAGCCAGUAUCAAGGGCACCCCCGCUUGCGCUCGCUUCCCCACCCGCCUGCUUUUGCCGCUAAUGUCCAGACAUUCUUUUGUUAGACCCAAAGCCCCUGGGGUUCAGUUCCUGCUGUUGUUGCAGCCCAAGGGCUCCAUCAAGAGCUGGCGGCAGCAUCCACCUCCUGGGGGUCUCGAGGGGCUCCAUAAGAACCCCUUGUCCUGAGCCCCCGCCCAGGCUGAGCAUUGGCAGCUGUUCAGUCCAGGCUGGCUUUAGUUGCUGUUAAUAUUCAAUAUUUGACAUAAACUCUAUUUUGAUUGUGAAA